CGUUCCCGGGCCUUGUACACACCGCCCGUCACGUCAUGAAAGUCGGUAACACCCGAAGCCGGUGGCCCAACCCUUGUGGAGGGAGCCGUCGAAGGUGGGACUGGCGAUUGGGGUG
rnacentral:rRNA from 1 species